ensembl:lncRNA
CUUAGACAGCCAUUUCCACUCUGCCACAUGGCCUUACCAACAAACAAACCGAUAACUGGAGAUGAAACACAAAUCGCUAACUGCCCAUUCGGGAGAGAGAAAAGCACAGUUGGUAGAGAAAACCUAUAUGACCUGCUUCCAGAAGGGCAAAGUGAAGAGGGAACAUCAAUGGCUCACUUCAAGGUCUAUCUCCAGUGCAGAGACGAAACUCCAGCCAAAACACCUAAUUCUGUGCAAGCGCCACAGGCUAACACGUUGCGUGGUGUACAGGACUGUCCGGAAGGUGCUUGACAUCGAUGGAUGGUAUUUAAUGGGGAUGGAAUAUCUAGAAUGCAACCCCUGUGAAAAGAAGUUGGCAGGUUGGUCACUGGAUGUCCUUAACCAGGUGGACACAAGUUCUCAGCGAUCUUGGCUUUUCGGUUAAUUCCCAUGGUGUAUCAGGCUGUCCUGUGACCUGAAGGUAGUCAGAAUAGACGAGGGAGCGUACACUUGGGAACAGCGUGACUAGGCUCUUCCUUACCUCAAGAAGGCUGCUCCAUUGCCCCCUACUAUCUGUCAGGACCUGGAGGAGGAUGAGUACACAAGUCCUGAUGGGGUUGUCGGGUAUCAACAUGUCGUUCUCCUUGCCAAAAGUCUGAUGAGACUCUUGGAGAGGCUGUCGAUCUCGACUCGGCAUGCCCAAAGAGAUAAUCGCCCUGUGAGAGAAUCUUCCAGAGGCGAACAAGAUGAGUCUCCUCAAAGACCACAGCAGUCGAGGGGGAAGAUAGCAUGAAGCGCUCCCUAUUUGGACAAGGACCUGGACCUGCCCUGUGGCCCAACACUAGCAGCACAGUAGAGGCUUUCUUUUUGGAGCUUUGCCAGACUGUCCUUGGUGUGCGGGACAACAGGUGGGCUGCCAUCCAGAAGGACUACAGGACCAUCAGGAACAUGAUGCUGCUAAUUAUUAAUAAUGUCUACAUGUAUCAUCAUCAUCUUACUAUUGUUAGACCGUCCUCUGACUUCAGCUCAUAGACCGUGGUGUUGGUCUGGGCCAUCAACCCUGGGCUGUUCAGCACCGCCUCUCUGACUGAAGAGGAUCGCCCACCUGCACCUCUUAGGGCCGCAUGGAUGCUGGUGACAGAGCUGGCUGCAAAUGGCCUCGACCAGGCGACUGCCGCCUGGCCACGUAGCAGGACCCGGGUUAAGUCUGAGAAAGCAACUGAAAGACAAAGAUUUGAACAAAGAAUACUUGUUAGUGUUGGCAGUGGAUGGCAACUGUUGAAAUAAUUAUUAUAUUAACCAAAUACCAUUGAACACUGUCCUUUCCAGCAGUUUCCCUUUAAUCGCUUUGAACCGCCCGCGCUCGAGCCUGUCCUGGUGACGGAAAGUGUCGACAACUCCUCUGGCUGCGGUAGUGUUUGCCACAGUCCUAUCAGACAGUCUACCUUUCGAUCCGUGAGCCCCUGAAGACCCUCUUGGCCAGCCUGCAGACCUGCUGGUAUCUGGCCCUUGGCACUCCUUCUGAAUGUUACAAAUACAUUAAAAAAAUAAAAUAAAAAGCCUUUCAGGAAACAUUUGGUUUAGAAUGUCAUGACAAAUAGGGGUGCAUCAGCUGGAUUACCUGGCGGGGCUACUACUGAAGUGGAGAACGAGGCCGGCAGCGAGGCUGGGGUGGUGGCGUCCUUAUCCUGUCUCCUCAAAGCCCUCAUCCUCCAGGGGUCCCUCGACAGCAUCAGCCUCAUCUGGAGUGUCGGGGUCCGGUUGACUUCCUGCAGCACUUUGUUGGUCUGGGUGUACAGGUACUCAACACCAAUGAAUUCACAUGUAAUGUGGUGGAAGAACGCAGACACUCCGUGGCCAUGGGGUACUAGCCCUUGACAUCCAAGACUCUCUGGAUGGUCUUGUAAAGCCCAGCCUUGGUGAGAAGAGUGUUACACCCAGGCCGGGUGCGUGCCAGCUUGAAUGACCAUGUAUGUAGAGGAACAGCGGACAUGCAAAGAAGGGGUCAGGCGACUCAGGUGGCUGAUUGUAGGUCAGCCAAGGUUGGGGAGGGUACCACCACAGACCAACUCUGGUAAUUUUAUAUCUCCCAGUGCUACUCCUGGUGAACAGUGUACGGCCGAUCUGCUGCUGCUCUUUGUUCAGACAUGCCCGCCAGCUCUCAGGAUGCAGCAGCUGCAUUUUAGACAAGAAAAUGACAGUUAAAAUACUAGUAGCUUACAGUUGUGAAUAUUCUGAACCGUUGCUGUUAUAAGGUAACUCACCUCUGGACUUGCAUGUGCAGGCCUUGGAGGCAGGAAAGACUGCCAUGGGGCAGCCUCCUCUUCACACAUAGAAAUGUGUGUUAAAUGUGGUCUUAGUCAUCAAGAGCUCAUUAUAAUGUUUC